CCUACGGGGGGCAGCAGUGAGGAAUAUUGGUCAAUGGACGAGAGUCUGAACCAGCCAAGUAGCGUGAAGGAUGACUGCCCUAUGGGUUGUAAACUUCUUUUAUAUGGGAAUAAAAUGUUCCACGUGUGGGAUUUUGUAUGUACCAUAUGAAUAAGGAUCGGCUAACUCCGUGCCAGCAGCCGCGGUAAUACGGAGGAUCCGAGCGUUAUCCGGAUUUAUUGGGUUUAAAGGGAGCGUAGGUGGAUUGUUAAGUCAGUUGUGAAAGUUUGCGGCUCAACCGUAAAAUUGCAGUUGAAACUGGCAGUCUUGAGUACGGUAGAGGUGGGCGGAAUUCGUGGUGUAGCGGUGAAAUGCUUAGAUAUCACGAAGAACUCCGAUUGCGAAGGCAGUUCACUGGACUGCAACUGACACUGAGGCUCGAAAGUGUGGGUAUCAAACAGGAUUAGAUACCCCAGUAGUC
rnacentral:rRNA from 1 species